rnacentral:pre_miRNA from 1 species
UCUCAUGGAUGAGCAAAGAGAGUGGUUUCUUGAGACGGAAACUACUCCUGGUGGCGAUGCCGUGAA